GAUGAACGCUGGCGGCGUGCCUAAUACAUGCAAGUCGAGCGAACAGAUGAGGAGCUUGCUCCUCUGACGUUAGCGGCGGACGGGUGAGUAAAACGUGGAUAACCUACCUAUAAGACUGGGAUAACUUCGGGAAAACGGAGCUAAUACCGGAUAAUAUAUUGAACCGCAUGGUUCAAUAGUGAAAGACGGUUUUGCUGUCACUUAUAGAUGGAUCCGCGCCGCAUUAGCUAGUUGGUAAGGUAACGGCUUACCAAGGCAACGAUGCGUAGCCGACCUGAGAGGGUGAUCUGCCACACUGGAACUGAGACACGGUCCAGACUCCUACGGGAGGCAGCAGUAGGGAAUCUUCCGCAAUGGGCGAAAGCCUGACGGAGCAACGCCGCGUGAGUGAUGAAGGUCUUCGGAUCGUAAAACUCUGUUAUUAGGGAAGAACAAAUGUGUAAGUAACUAUGCACGUCUUGACGGUACCUAAUCAGAAAGCCACGGCUAACUACGUG
rnacentral:rRNA from 1 species